rnacentral:rRNA from 1 species
GAUGAACGCUGGCGGCGUGCCUAAUACAUGCAAGUCGAGCGAACAGACGAGGAGCUUGCUCCUCUGACGUUAGCGGCGGACGGGUGAGUAACACGUGGAUAACCUACCUAUAAGACUGGGAUAACUUCGGGAAACCGGAGCUAAUACCGGAUAACAUGUUGAACCGCAUGGUUCAACAGUGAAAGACGGUUUUGCUGUCACUUAUAGAUGGAUCCGCGUCGCAUUAGCUAGUUGGUAAGGUAACGGCUUACCAAGGCAACGAUGCGUAGCCGACCUGAGAGGGUGAACGGCCACACUGGAACUGAGACACGGUCCAGACUCCUACGGGAGGCAGCAGUAGGGAAUCUUCCGCAAUGGGCGAAAGCCUGACGGAGCAACGCCGCGUGAGUGAAGAAGGUCUUCGGAUCGUAAAACUCUGUUAUUAGGGAAGAACAAAUGUGUAAGUAACUAUGCACGUCUUGACGGUACCUAAUCAGAAAGCCACGGCUAACUACGUG